UUUUUCUUUCUUUCUUAUGCUGAAUACUUAAUGCAUGCAAUUACUUUAACAUUUUAAGACAUUUUGGUAAGCAUUAAUUCCAAAAAAAGUGAAAUGAAUAUUGUAAAAUCUCAGUAGAAGUGACAUCAUUAUUUCAAAAUAAUUUUGGUGGUUUAUUUUUCACCUAAACAGUCAUCCUUAGCAUUUUCUGUGAACUGCUUCAUACAUCAAACCAGCCCCAUUACCAAUGUCCUGAAUUAUCUCAGAUUUCUUCCCACCACCACUGUUACCAUGGAACAGAGAUAUUUAUUUCUAUAUGCUUCUUCUCCCUCCAGAUUAGGCUUCUCUUCAGGAAGAUUCUAGAGGAUUAAACACCAUAGUUUCCGCGCUCUGCUUAAGGUAAGGCACCUAGCAGGUGCUCAAUAAACAUUAAUUGAAUCGACUAAAACUUCCUGAAAAUUAUUUACUAGAUCCUAUCCCUUCCCCAGAGCUAUAGAUGCAUCUCUUGCUCAAGUUGCAAAGAUCCUUCUUUUUAUUCUCCUUUAUUCAUAUCCUGGCACAUUCCACAAAAAAUUCAGACAGGAAACCUCUUCUUCUUAAAUUCAUUCUGUCUUCUACUGCUAAUGCUGAGGUGGAUUUGCAAAGGACAAAGCUGUUCUUUCAGAUGUCAUUUUAACUGUUUAUUCUGCAAGCAUAAACAGGAAGAUCAAAUAAUGUCACCUCCUCAGAGUAUUCUUGGGAGAAUGACCCAUUUCACCUUUCUUUAGCAAGGAAGACCCAUUUCACCUCUUUUUCUAUUAGCUGACUCUAUGACAGAGUCCAUAUGACAACUACCCCAAUCUGAAAUUGUCCCAUCACGGAUGCUCUCUGACUCUUCCAACAGAACCCUCACAGAUGGCAGGGUCAGGCUUAUUCACUCAUUAGUCUCUAUUCCACAGCACUGUGAAUGGUACACUGUAGCGCGUCAGAACUGGAAAGCUUCUCAGCGGCCACUAAGUUUAACCCCAUUAUUAAAAAAAAAGAAUACACACACACACACAAAAACAGAUGUCCCAAGAGGGAUAGUUUAGCCCCAAUAUUAAAAAAUAUAUAUUAUUUUUAUAAAUAUAUUAUAUAUAAAUAUAUUAUAAAUGUAUAAAAAUAUGUAUAUAUGUAUAUAUAUGUGUAUAUAUACAUAUAUAUGUUUAAUGCGCACACACACACACACACACACACACACAGAUGCCCCAAGAGGGAUAGUUAUUUGUCCAAGGUUUAUGUAAAAUAACAGUAUCUAGAUGUGGAUUUAGAAUUCCCAACUCCCAGGCCAGGGAUCCUUCCACAGCUGCCCAAUGAUGGCCAUCUCCAAGCCCAGAGUAGAGAAGGAGACCUUCACUUCCACUGAGCCCAGAGAGAAAACAAUGCUUUGAACCAAAUGGAUAGGAUUUCUCUCUUCUUUGUCUUUGGCACUAUCCAACCCCUCUCUAAGUAUAAAAUUGCCUUAUGCAGCCACUGGACUAUCAACCUUAAUAAAGAUAGGGCAGCUAGUAUUAUCUUCCUACUGGUAGAGACACUGGGGCACAAAGGAGCUAAGGAACAUGGCCAUACCCAUAUGACCAAGCCCACACCAGGUGCCAGGAGUCCACUCACAAGUCCAUGGACUUGGUGCAUCUCCUGAAUUCUCUUGCAACACUUCAAAUCACAAGCCUUUUCUAAUCCAUGCACAGACCCAUGAGCCAUGAUUUUGCAGUGCAUAGCGAUGUCUUCUCACCUUGAGAGAAUUUACAUAGAAGAAAAAGAAAUAAACAAAAAGAACCCUGUGUUAAUGUCAUUUAUGUUGUGAUAUGAUAAAAAAAAAAUUUUGACAGAUUCAUCAAACUUCCAGUAGUGACAGCAGCAAACUGUUUCUAUUUUUUCAAGAGUUCACGGGAGGCCAAAGGCCAAAACCCAUCUCAGAUGUUGUAUCUGUUCAUUAUUUAUUUCUAAGACGCUAAGGCUCUUAGAAGCCCAGUGACCCACUUCCAGGCAGGUGAGCACUGAGGCCAUAAAGGGAAAUGGCCUUGUCUGAAGUUACUACAGGAGGCAAGUGACAGGUGCCCAGAACUCAGAGCUUUCAGUGGCUCUGAGAGUGGUGUGGUUCUGGAACAUUCAGCAGCUCUGAUUCACUCAGGUAUAUUAUUCUAUUUCUAGCUCAUAUCAUCUUGGCUCCUUCUGGGAGAAAGCCAUGGGGCAGCACGUCUAAGAAAUGUGGACAAGAGGGCAGGGGAGAGUCUGGGCUGAGACAUGACCUUACAAAUUCCGUGGAAGUGUCACUAUCUAAGCAUCUUGGUUACUCAGCAGAUCCGGUAUACCUGGGCCCCUGCUUGAACUAAGCAACCCUAGAGACGCACCUGGAUAUAUACAUCCAUGCACAUAUGUAACGAUAUAGGCACCACGCGCAUGUGUAACUUUUUGUUUACGCUUGGGGAAUUGUUAAAGGUACUGGUCUCCCUAUAAGGCCCUUUGGGAGAAAUUCUACUGGCCUCAGUGUCAAGAAAUGUUUUGUCUCACCUGGACACUAAUGUAUUAUUAUUCUGUGGUGCUUGUAUAACCCUCGGUGUUUCUCCAGUUGCUUGGUUACUAGGAAACAAUGCUCUAUGUCAUAAAUUAUGGUAUGCUCUUUGUUCUAUCUUUCCACCUUACUCUUACUUUCCCUUCAUCUUAAUUUCUUUAAAACUUCCCUUUCUUGAAAUCUUAGCACGUUGCUGGUAUUUAUGAAGGCCACUUCAACACCUCUUGAGAACAGGAAAGGCCAUAAAUAAAUGGACAAGUAAAUAGGCCACACUGUUUGAGCUCCUCACAUGGCCAACCACUGGGAAUCCAAUCACCUUUCUCCUGGCAGUCUGCCCAGAGCUUUAGUUAAACCCGAACAAACACUAAUUCCUUAUUAAGAAAGAGUUGGUCCUUACAUCCAUCCAAGGAGCAUAUACUCAAAGAACAGUCUUCUAGCUAAUUAAUUUUGCUUUCCGUUAUUCAACAUUCAAGAGGCCUUUUUAAGGUUUCUAAAUGUGCGCAGUAUAGCAUGUAUCAGAACAUGCUGAAAUUACCAGUUUAAUUAUAUCCUUGUCCCCCAGACUUUUAGAACUUUGAAGCUAAGGACUACGAUAGUUCUCUCUCUCUCUCUCUCUGUGCCUAGUACCUACCCCUGUGGCUAUUCCUCAGUCGACAUGUUGUUAGAUAAAUGGAUGCUUGCUAAAAUAACACCAGCACACACGUGUGCACGUCUGUACACAUCACAUAUAUUUAUGCACGCGUGUACCUAUAUUGCCAUCCACUACACAAGCGCCUCUCAAGCAAAUCUCCCCAGAACCUGCGAGGCAGUGUAUUAUUAUUAUAUGUAGGGUAGUUAAGUAAUGCACACAUUCACAGAGCUCUUAUGGGGCAGAGCUGAGCUCUGAGUCCACAUCUGCCUUACUCCUAGCUCUUCCCAGGCUGCCGUAUUUCUUCUCAGUGUGACGUCAUAGUGAAUCUCAAGACAGAAUCACGAGUAAUUGGUGGUACACAAAGAUGUCUCCAGAUAUGGAGAACAGAUGAGGUACAGUGAGAUGGGUAAGGCCAAGCAUAUCCUCAUGCUGUUAAGAGGAAUAGUGUAGUUUACAUCACUUCACGCUCAUCAUACUAUCUGGUAACUCUACUACAGGAUCUAAACUAACUUCUGGCUUUGGGAAAAUGGCACUUACUGUGUGUGACGGUCAGUUUAAUGGGUAACCUUGGCUAGGUGAUUGUCCCGAGUCAUACCAACACUAAUGGAGGUGUUUUGUAGAUGUCAUUAGAGUCUAUAAUCAGUUUACUUAAGUAAAGAAGAUUAUUCUUGAUAGUCUGGGUGGGCCUGACUUAACCAGUUGAAAACCCUUCAGAGCAGAACUGAAGCUACUCUAAUGACGAGAAAAGUCUACCUGGGGACUGCAGCCAUGGCUUCCUGCCCACCUGUCCUGUGGACUUCAGACUCGCCUUGCCAACCCUCGCAGUUGCUUGAGCCAAUUCCUUUCAAUAAAUCUCCUGAUCUAUGUGUAUCCUACUGGUUGUUACCCUCGGUGUAUCCUGACUGAUACCCGAUGUGUACAUCAGCAUUUAUAGAUAGGAAACUUCAGGCAACUUCACAUUCAAGGGACCAGAAGAGGCUCUACAACCUCUGCUAGCAGCCAGCAAUGCACUCUAACUGCCCUGAAUGGCAGUCUUCUUACUUAUGCCCAAAGGCCAGAUUUCAACUGGCUCAAUAACAAGAAUGCUAUGCCUUUCAGUUUGCACUUUUUUUUACAAGUUCUUGGAAAAAGUAAAUCAUAGUAGUUUAUUAUGAAGCCAUUGUUGCAGAAGAGCAUAUGGAUGAUAUCGCUGUAAAGCCUCUUUUCAUUAAUGCCUUUAUCUGGUUGCUUAACAACAACAACAAAAAAGUUUCAGCUAUGGAGAAAAACAUAUGUAGGUUUUCAAACUAUGAUUUUGGCACUGGAGAAGUGAUUAAUAGGCAAGAGAAUGUAUUAGUGUAAAGAGCAAGGGUUUGAGCUUCACGGGUUCUGAAAUGAAUGACUCUGGACAGAUUAGUUUCUUUAAGCCUCAGUUUCCUCAAUUGUGAAAUAAAAUAUGCACACAAGUCUCUAUGAAUUGUCUCUCUACUUGCUAGGGCCCUUCAAAAAUGCAUCUUUCAGACUGAUCUCCAUCCUCUAGGGCAGAGCUUCUGAAUUUCAGCACUAUUGGGCAAGGUAAUUAUUUGUUGGGGGAAAGGUACUGCUCUGUAUAUUACAGGAUGUUUAGCAGCGUCCCUGGCCUCUACCCACUAGCUACCGCUAUGACACCCCUACCCAGUGGUGACAACCAAAGAUGUCUCAGACCUUGACAAAUGUCCCCUGGUGGAACAUCAUCCAGGUUGACUCUAGGAGUGCAAUCAUUACAAUUAUUUUUUUCUUUUGCUUUUUAAAUUUUUCUUUAAAAAAUUAAGUAUAAAAUAUAUAGAGAAGAGCAUAGUUCUAUGAAUUCUUACUAAGGGAACAUGACCCCGUUAUCAGCCCUAUAGCAAAGAACAGAACACACUGUGACCUCCCCUACCCUCCACAAGAAGCCCCUGAUAUUCUCUCCUUUUGUAACUACUGGGGACUUUGAGGCAGUGAAACUGAGGUAUAAAUUUUAAGUCAUAAGAGGAAAUUCAGAAUGGGAGUUUGCAAACUGGUUUCCGGUGUGAUUUUUCCCAGGGAACAAAGCCAUACUAGAAUAAUAAUCUAACUGGAAACCACAAAAGGUAGCAGGUGAGCCACCCAAAUGCAGAGGAAGCUUGCCUGGAAUAUUGGAGGGGUACAACCAUGGGAACCCUUGUAGGUUUUUUUCCUUCCAACCUGAAAAUUCAGCUUGUCUGACUCAGUGGAGAAAAGAAAUGUUGUCAAAAGAGACCAAAUGUAGAAGGGCGGGGGGGGGGGGGGCGGGGGUGAGAUUGUGCAGCAACAGCUGGAAGAACCAACCUGGCCAAUGUGGCAUCUUCAGGGAAUCUGAGGAAUGGGAUGUGUCCCCGGGUCUUAUGACAUUCUUCUCCUUGUUAUUCCUAAGUUCCCUGGACACUAGAGAAGGGCGGACCAACAUACUCGAGUCGACACGCUUUCAGAGGUUUCUUUAAAACAGCCUUGCUAGUCCGGUUACAGGAGAUAUUUAAGUUCUACUCAGAGGGCAAGAAAAUAUCCGGGCAGCAGGCCAGGAUGACACUCCUUCUCUGAAUAUAUAAUGUUAAUGCUGUUGGGCAUUUACCAAAUUGCCCGCAUUCAUCUGUGAGCUGCUGGAGAAGGAGCUCUGUCUUUUCAUUUUUCCUACCCCUACAGCAUCUCACGUUGGGGCUGGACUAUGGUAGGUGCUGAGCUAAGAGAAGCGGAGGUGCAGAGACCAAGAGGUCGCCAUGUGGAAAAGUAGGCCAGAUGUCCCGAGAUGCUGAAGGCCUGUAUCCAGUCCAACCGGGAGCCAGACCUCACAGGAACUUUCAAAUUACACAGCCCCAAACGUCCCCCUUCUCUCUCAACUCUUCUGAGCUAGAUUUUCUGUAACCUGUAGCCGCCACAACCUGCUGGGUGCCAAAUACUCAAGAGGCUGUAAGUGUUGGAGCUAACAAAGGUCAAAGGCCUCUGAUCAAAUGCAGGAAGCAAGGAGGAAAGAGAAGAAGGAUGAAUCUUAAAUGUCAGAAAAGAAAUGACAAGAAAUGAAAUCGGGACAAUAGCAAAAUGAGAAAAACGGCCGUAUUGACAGAGGAGCCAGAAAUCAAAUCAAUAGUAAUUGGCCAUAGAUUAGAUGUGAGGUCUCAGAAAUGAGGCCCCUCGAGAUUUAUGUUUGUUUUUUCAUUUGCCUCUGCUUGGAUACCUCGGUAGGAGAAUGUCUGUAUCACUGGAAUAUGGAAUACAGGAAGAGGAUCAUAUUUAAAGGUUUGCUAAGUUAGGUUUGGAAUGCAGUCUGGGGACUCGCCAGUGUUAGGACGGUAGGUGAAGCUAGGAAGUCUGUGAAUCAUCCCAGCAAACCAGUGUGACGGGAGAAGAGCUGGUGUCUGGAAUAAAACACUAAAGAAAAAAAGCACAAAGAAUCUCCAAUAUUUAACAGAAAAGGCUGAGAUGGGUGUCCAACCAAGAUAACUCAGAAAAAAAAAAUUAUUUUUUCUGGGGCAGAGAAACAUCUUAAGAAAAUUGAAGAGACUGGAUUUGGGGGAAGUUGAAGGGAGAGGCUCUCCCCCCACAAUGGCAUUUAUCGGGCGACCCAAGAUGGGCAGGUAAACGGCUGUGUUUAUUGCCCCCUGAGAAAACAACUCCACAUCCUUCCACCACAGCCUGUACCUCUUAACCAAGGGAUUUGAUGUAAAUAUCUCUUCCUGAGAUGUAGGUUGAGUCACUUUUUUUCUUGUCACAGGCAAAAAUCUGAUCCCUUUCUCCCCCAAAGCAAUCCCUCAGAUAUUGUGGGCUAUACUUUAUCAGGCAUCAUCUCAAAGCUUCUAUCUAUCAACCAAAGGAAUUAUGUUCUGAUAAUUUUAUCCUUUCCAACCAUUUACUUCUACAAGCUUGUGCUACACAUUCACUGACUUCUCAGAACCCGCAAGAGACACAACUAUUCUCCUAAUACAUCCUCUCUAAGAAGGACUUUCCUUGGAAUAAAGGCAAUGAACUCCUUCCCCCCAGGUGACACGGGCAUGAGCCAGCAAGUGCCGUGACAAAGAGGACCCGAUUCUGUCCUGGAAGAGCCCUGGAUUCACCUGUGAUGCCAGUCAAGGUCUUCUUCCUCUAGGAGAUCCAACUCUCAGGAUAGUGGUUGGGAUUUCCCAUCAUUACUUAUGAAAAGUGUCGGCCAUGAUACUAAUACCUUGUCUUCCUCUCUCCCUUCCUUCCUUCCUGGUCACUUUUCUUCUUCUUCUUUUUUUCUUUUUUUCAUUCUUCCUCCUUCCCUUCCUAGUCAUCACAUUUCAGGCCCCUAAUAAUGCUAAACAUCCUCACAACUGGCUUCCUCAUGUGUACCAGGAGUACUCAGCUGGGAUGGGCAGAGGCAGCGGCUCUCAUUACCAAAUGUCAGUUACUUCCUAAUGCAUCACGUCCUGAUUUACACUGUCACUACAGAAAAAUAGUUUUUUUCAUUUGUUUUUAUUU
rnacentral:lncRNA from 1 species